GACCGUCCGAUCCAGCCGAGCCCCACGGAAUCUAACGGUGCAACAUAAUUUGUCGUGUUAGGAUGAUAUAUGCGGUGGGGCCGAUAUCUCCUAACCGCAAGGUCAAUGUCCCAAUUAAAAACGACAUAUUUAUGGUAUUUUUAUUUUUAUUUUAUCUUUCAUACAGAUCGAGGACAUCUCGUCCGUUAUAACUUGGUUAGGUGUCCAAUGGCAGCAAUCAAGCCUCAUUGGAUCGUCUCCACCGCAGCGUGGGGCCCGUCAAUUACUUGCACGGUGGUCCUCUGUAUACACGUGUCGAGCACUCGUGACGGUACUUUUUUCCUUUCCACCACAGAUCGUGGGGCGAUCGGAGGAUCGGAC
rnacentral:lncRNA from 1 species